rnacentral:misc_RNA from 1 species
GUGAAUCAUCGAAUUUUUGAACGCAAAUUGCACUCUCCUCGGAGAGUAUGCCUGUUUGAGGGUCAGCCUAUAAAAAAUCGACAUCGUUGCUGUUUCGCGGUGACAUUCGUCGGAAAUUGGGUCAUCUUAAAUCUUUUUGUUUUUAAGGGAUAUAAUAUUCUCUUCUUGUUCCCAUGAACUUU